rnacentral:rRNA from 1 species
UGGGGAAUAUUGCGCAAUGGGGGGAACCCUGACGCGGCCAUGCCGCGUGAAUGAAGAAGGCCUUCGGGUUGUAAAGUUCUUUCGGUAUUGAGGAAGGUUGAUGUGUUAAUAGCACAUCAAAUUGACGUUAAAUACAGAAGAAGCACCGGCUAACUCCGUGCCAGCAGCCGCGGUAAUACGGAGGGUGCGAGCGUUAAUCGGAAUAACUGGGCGUAAAGGGCACGCAGGCGGUUAUUUAAGUGAGGUGUGAAAGCCCCGGGCUUAACCUGGGAAUUGCAUUUCAGACUGGGUAACUAGAGUACUUUAGGGAGGGGUAGAAUUCCACGUGUAGCGGUGAAAUGCGUAGAGAUGUGGAGGAAUACCGAAGGCGAAGGCAGCCCCUUGGGAAUGUACUGACGCUCAUGUGCGAAAGCGUGGGGAGCAAACAGGAUUAGAUACCCUGGUAGUCCACGCUGUAAACGCUGUCGAUUUGGGGGUUGGGGUUUAACUCUGGCGCCCGUAGCUAACGUGAUAAAUCGACCGCCUGGGGAGUACGGCCGCAAGGUUA